rnacentral:sRNA from 1 species
AUUCUAUGCUGCAGCCUAAGCAUCAUUCCUCUUCUCUUCUUAGUGGAGAUAAAAUUACCCACUGCUUUCCUUACAUUUACUUUGUCCAUAUUUGCUCCUAUGCUCUAGGCUCGUGCACAACAAACACAGUGUGGGCCCUUACCCUAGGAGCCAACUUCUCAUGACCUUUCUCUAUCUCCAGAAUCCAUGCAGUGGGAAUGAAGGUAAAAGAAGGUUUUCAUGGGAUCCAGCUGAGAGCUCUACGGGGAAAAUGGAUCUGAGGAGCCAUGUGCUCCAUCUCUUUUAUUUUACAGGUAGAGACUAGGGGUAUAGAGUGAGGUGAAUUACCGCAGUGACCCACACAUUGUUGGCAGACCUAGGAUUAGAACUCUGUCUUCCUGAUUCCCAGCUUGGUGCUUUUGAAAGCAUACUUGCUGCUUUCUUACCGGCCUGGUGUCUGCCACUUUGGGACAGAGUGUGGACUUGCUCACCUGCCCUAUUUCUUAGGGAUUCUCAUUCUGUGUUUGAGCAAGAAUAUUCUUAUUCUGGAAAGAACCACAUACCACAGGAUUCUGGGUGAGCAUAAGGAAGAUUGUCUUGGGGAUCUGACUUAGCUCACGUAUAGUGGCUGUGAUGAAUUCAGUGUCUUAUUUUUUGCAUAUGUAUAUUUUUAGUCUAAUAUUGCCUGGGUGUCUGAGCAAGUCUGGAUGAAUUUAAUUGCUCUCAUUUUUCCCCUGCCCCUCUUCCUUUGGUCUCUCUUUUAGGAAAUGUUUUUCUUUCAACAUUCGUUUCAUUCAUUAUUUACUCAUUCGGCCAACCAACAUUUAUUGAGUGCCUUCCCUGUAUCAGGGACAGGGGCUUACAAAGUAGAAUUUGAUCCCACCUCUGCCCUUAGUAGCUCAGUGUCUAAUGGAGGUAGUGAUGUUCAUUAAGCGUCGCCAGAUACUGUGCUAGGUGCUGUGCCUGUUCUCUCUCGCUUGUUCCUCACACACUUGAGAAGGCCGAAGCUGAUUCAUAGCUUGGAAGGCAGGGGACUUGGAUUUGAACCCAGGCCUGACCAAUGGCAGAACCUAUCAGAUGUGUGGACAGAUGACAUUGCCCUUCUUUCUUUGGAUAUAUCAAAAUCAGCCAGCAGGCAGGAACUCCCAUUUUGAGCAAGCAAUGUGCAGGAAUGAUAGGGUAUACAGAGAGGAACAGGAAAUGGCCCCUGACUUCCAGCAUGUGUCUGAUGGACAUCCAGGAUGCAGGCAUCAUGGUGCUGUCUAGAGAGAUGAGCCAGGUGCCCAGAGCCCAUGGGCCAAUGCUGCCCUUUCUUGAGCAUGCCAAACAAAGCAGUUGGUGUGUUAGAGGCACAGUCUCCUCCACUCUAAGUAAAAAUCAGCAUGAGUCCUAGCCCACAUUUCCCUAGUGAGUAUACCAAAGAUGUCUAUGAACUGGCAGUCAUCAGUGACCUCCUAAGGUUCUGGAAAUGCAUCUCUUACUCAGGAGUAAGCAAUGAUGUGCCUGCGGCUUUACGAGUUCUCACAGAAUGACUUUCUGGACCCAAAUGUUUUUUCUGCUUCAGGACUGUGAAGGCCUUAUUGUUCGCUCUGCCACCAAGGUGACCGCUGAUGUCAUCAACGCAGCUGAGAAACUCCAGGUGGUGGGCAGGGCUGGCACAGGUGUGGACAAUGUGGAUCUGGAGGCCGCAACAAGGAAGGGCAUCUUGGUUAUGAACACCCCCAAUGGGAACAGCCUCAGUGCCGCAGAACUCACUUGUGGGAUGAUCAUGUGCCUGGCCAGGCAGAUUCCCCAGGCGACGGCUUCGAUGAAGGACGGCAAAUGGGAGCGGAAGAAGUUCAUGGGAACAGAGCUGAAUGGAAAGACCCUGGGAAUUCUUGGCCUGGGCAGGAUUGGGAGAGAGGUAGCUACCCGGAUGCAGUCCUUUGGGAUGAAGACUAUAGGAUAUGACCCCAUCAUUUCCCCAGAGGUCUCGGCCUCCUUUGGUGUUCAGCAGCUGCCCCUGGAGGAGAUCUGGCCUCUCUGUGAUUUCAUCACUGUGCACACUCCUCUCCUGCCCUCCACGACAGGCUUGCUGAAUGACAACACCUUUGCCCAGUGCAAGAAGGGGGUGCGUGUGGUGAACUGUGCCCGUGGAGGGAUCGUGGACGAAGGCGCCCUGCUCCGGGCCCUGCAGUCUGGCCAGUGUGCCGGGGCUGCACUGGACGUGUUUACGGAAGAGCCGCCACGGGACCGGGCCUUGGUGGACCAUGAGAAUGUCAUCAGCUGUCCCCACCUGGGUGCCAGCACCAAGGAGGCUCAGAGCCGCUGUGGGGAGGAAAUUGCUGUUCAGUUCGUGGACAUGGUGAAGGGGAAAUCUCUCACGGGGGUUGUGAAUGCCCAGGCCCUUACCAGUGCCUUCUCUCCACACACCAAGCCUUGGAUUGGUCUGGCAGAAGCUCUCGGGACACUGAUGCGAGCCUGGGCUGGGUCCCCCAAAGGGACCAUCCAGGUGAUAACACAGGGAACAUCCCUGAAGAAUGCUGGGAACUGCCUAAGCCCCGCAGUCAUUGUCGGCCUCCUGAAAGAGGCUUCCAAGCAGGCGGAUGUGAACUUGGUGAACGCUAAGCUGCUGGUGAAAGAGGCUGGCCUCAAUGUCACCACCUCCCACAGCCCUGCUGCACCAGGGGAGCAAGGCUUCGGGGAAUGCCUCCUGGCCGUGGCCCUGGCAGGCGCCCCUUACCAGGCUGUGGGCUUGGUCCAAGGCACUACACCUGUACUGCAGGGGCUCAAUGGAGCUGUCUUCAGGCCAGAAGUGCCUCUCCGCAGGGACCUGCCCCUGCUCCUAUUCCGGACUCAGACCUCUGACCCUGCAAUGCUGCCUACCAUGAUGGGCCUCCUGGCAGAGGCAGGCGUGCGGCUGCUGUCCUACCAGACUUCACUGGUGUCAGAUGGGGAGACCUGGCACGUCAUGGGCAUCUCCUCCUUGCUGCCCAGCCUGGAAGCGUGGAAGCAGCAUGUGACUGAAGCCUUCCAGUUCCACUUCUAACCUUGGAGCUCACUGGUCCCUGCCUCUGGGGCUUUUCUGAAGAAACCUACCCACUGUGAUCAAUAGGGAGAGAAAAUCCACAUUCUUGGGCUGAACGCGGGCCUCUGACACUGCUUACACUGCACUCUGACCCUGUAGUACAGCAAUAACCGUCUAAUAAAGAGCCUACCCCC